rnacentral:rRNA from 1 species
UUCCGGAGCUAACGCGUUAAGUCGACCGCCUGGGGAGUACGGCCGCAAGGUUAAAACUCAAAUGAAUUGACGGGGGCCCGCACAAGCGGUGGAGCAUGUGGUUUAAUUCGAUGCAACGCGAAGAACCUUACCUGGUCUUGACAUCCACAGAACUUUCCAGAGAUGGAUUGGUGCCUUCGGGAACUGUGAGACAGGUGCUGCAUGGCUGUCGUCAGCUCGUGUUGUGAAAUGUUGGGUUAAGUCCCGCAACGAGCGCAACCCUUAUCCUUUGUUGCCAGCGGUCCGGCCGGGAACUCAAAGGAGACUGCCAGUGAUAAACUGGAGGAAGGUGGGGAUGACGUCAAGUCAUCAUGGCCCUUACGACCAGGGCUACACACGUGCUACAAUGGCGCAUACAAAGAGAAGCGACCUCGCGAGAGCAAGCGGACCUCAUAAAGUGCGUCGUAGUCCGGAUUGGAGUCUGCAACUCGACUCCAUGAAGUCGGAAUCGCUAGUAAUCGUGGAUCAGAAUGCCACGGUGAAUACGUUCCCGGGCCUUGUACACACCGCCCGUCACACCAUGGGAGUGGGUUGCAAAAGAAGUAGGUAGCUUAACCUUCGGGAGGGCGCUUACCACUUUGUGAUUCAUGACUGGGGUGAAGUCGUAACAAGGUAACCGUAGGGGAACCUGCGGUUGGAUCACCUCCUUA